rnacentral:rRNA from 1 species
UUGAACUGAAGAGUUUGAUCCUGGCUCAGAUUGAACGCUGGCGGCAUGCCUUACACAUGCAAGUCGAACGGCAGCACGGGUGCUUGCACCUGGUGGCGAGUGGCGAACGGGUGAGUAAUACAUCGGAACAUGUCCUGUAGUGGGGGAUAGCCCGGCGAAAGCCGGAUUAAUACCGCAUACGAUCUACGGAUGAAAGCGGGGGACCUUCGGGCCUCGCGCUAUAGGGU